rnacentral:lncRNA from 1 species
GGUCUUUCCUUGCAGAAGCCUCUGUCUCACUAGAGAGCUACUCUGCUUUCUCUUUCUUUUGCCUAUUAAGCCUCUGCUCCUAAACUCAUGUGUGUUCCUGUCCUAAAUCUUCCUGGCGCAAGACGACGAAUCCUGGGUAUUUACCCCAGACAACGAAGCCACUUCAAAAAGUGUUUCGAUCAAGAUCAACCUUAUUUGUAUUGGAAAUGUAGUCACACUGACACCGUGUACAAAAACAGAUUGAUGUUGAGAAGCCAGAAGAACAGAAAAAAUAAAACAAAAACAGAUUUACAUUUAUUACAGAUGGACUCUGUUUUACUCUCAAAUAGAAGUGAUUCCCCUCAUCUCUUUAUUUCUAUGCUUCCCUUCCCUUCUUCCCGCUCCAUGUUCCCCUUUUCUGUGGAAGGAUGGCUAAUCGUCUCAUCUCUGUGUCCAGAGUGAAUCAGUGGAGUCCUAUGGCAGUUCCUACACACAGUAUUCACGUAGCACCAACAAUCUGCCACUCUGUAUUAGAGUUAGCUUUUCUGUGUACUGUGUAUGCGUAUUAUAGCCCAUCUAGAGUGCAAAGUUUUAGUAGACUCUAUCUAUUUGUACCGUAUUCUCUUUAGUGGCUACUGUUCCUAAGAACAGUAGUCAGUAAACACUUGUUCAUUGACUGGAUAUUGUUUACUAUCUCAAUUUAUCUUAGGAGAUAAUAUCUCAGAACCAAUCCUGAAUGUGGGGGCC